CAUGAAUGUAGCUAUAUUACUCAUCUAUAAUUGAUUGAGUACAAAAUUCUGUGUUAUUUUUGGUGAAAAUAGGGUUUUGGGCCUGGGUUCAGGAACCGAUCCCCCAUUUAUAACAUUGUUCCUAUGGGGAAAAGCGGCCCC